AGGGGUCUGCCUCAAAGUUGUGGUGAACUGUCGGAGGUAGGACCACAUGAAGAAAACCUAGGUCUUCAAACAGUAAGCCUAACCCCCAAAGGUUACCUCAGUAUCGAUCCUAGAAGCUUGGCUUCUCCUUCUGUUGAGUUGCCUGGUUGUUGGUUCUACCGCCAUCUGCUGCUGGCAGCUGUACCUCUCCCUGAGCAGGACCGCCCUGUUCCCCUUGCUGCAAUUGUAGAGUCUCCAUCCAAUUCCAGCACGAGUGACUUGAGCGUGGGAAAGGUGUUGCAGGUGUACUUGCGGACCCAACGAGCCUGGAAGAUGGGGUGGUGGGGGGCGGAGGGCGCAAUGGUGGAGGCAGCGAAGGAGGAGGAGGAAGGCAAGGAUGGGAAGGUGGAGAGUGCAAGAGAGAUGGCAGGGGUGGAAGCCACCAAGGAUCUAUCUACAUGA
rnacentral:lncRNA from 2 species